UCCCAUCAACAAGUGUGCCCCGGCCAUAAGUCAGUGCGGGGUAUUAGCUUCCAUUAGCGCUGCAGCCGCUCGCUUGCCGGUCGCCCCCGUUAGUGUGUCUUCCAGUGAUUGCUACCGUUGAGUUGAGCCCCCGAUCUUGCGGCCAGGAUACUACGGAUAGAACGGUGCGUCAACAUCUCCAUCGUAUAUAGGAUUGGCCGUCGCCGCUACAUAGACAAGGAUUCAUUUGGUUUGAGUGGUUUUAUAUUCGUCAAGAAUCUAAAGAUGAAGUCAUUCGUGAGUGUUUUGCUGAAGGUGCUGGCCUGCAUUCUACUUCCGGGUGGAUUGAGCGCCCAGAAAGAUAGCAACGGUUUCGACGAAGGCCCCCCUUGAGUGCAUGUGCCGUCCCUGCACCGGAAUCGAGGAUGCCAACGUAAUUCCACAGGAGUUGGCUGCGUUCGCUGAGGAUGGCUCACUGGCCGGUUACUUUCAGAAAUCUUAAUUCAAAGCUGCC